rnacentral:rRNA from 1 species
GACGAACGCUGGCGGCGUGGAUUAGGCAUGCAAGUCGAACGGUAUCAUCCUUUCGGGGGUGAGAGAGUGGCGAACUGGUGAGUAACACGUAGGUUAUCUACCCUCAAGACGGGGACAACCCAGGGAAACUUGGGCUAAUACCGGAUGUGAGCAACUUUUAGUUGUUUGAAAGGUGGCGUAAGCUGCCGUUUGGGGAUGAGCCUGCGCUCUAUUAGUUAGUUGGCGGGGUAAAGCCCACCAAGGCGAUGAUAGAUAGGCGGCCUUAACGGGUGGUCGCCCACACUGGGAUUGAGAUACGGGCCCAGACUCCUACGGGAGGCAGCAGUCGAGAAUAGUCUACAAUGGCCGAAAGGCUGGAUAGUGCGACGCCGCGUGAACGAAGAAGCCCUUCGGGGUGUAAAGUUCUUUACCAGGGAUGAUAAUGACAGUACCUGGAGAAUAAGCUCCGGCUAACUCCGUG